rnacentral:rRNA from 1 species
GACUACUGGGGUAUCUAAUCCUGUUCGAUCCCCACGCUUUCGUGCCUCAGCGUCAGUGUCGGUCCAGUAAGCUGCCUUCGCAAUUGGUGUUCUGUGUAAUAUCUAAGCAUUUCACCGCUACAUUACACAUUCCGCCUACCUUAACCAAACUCAAGACUAACAGUAUCAAUGGCAGUUCUACAGUUAAGCUGUAGGAUUUCACCGCUGACUUAUUAAUCCGCCUACGCACCCUUUAAACCCAAUGAAUCCGGAUAACGCUUGCAUCCUCCGUAUUACCGCGGCUGCUGGCACGGAGUUAGCCGAUGCUUAUUCCCAAGGUACCGUCAGGUCUCUACACGUAGAAACUAUUCGUCCCCUGGAAAAGCAGUUUACAACCCAUAGGGCCGUCUUCCUGCACGCGGGAUGGCUGGUUCAGGCUUGCGCCCAUUGACCAAUAUUCCUCACUGCUGCCCCCCGUAGG